rnacentral:rRNA from 3 species
UACGGAGGAUCCGAGCGUUAUCCGGAUUUAUUGGGUUUAAAGGGAGCGUAGGUGGACAUGUAAGUCAGUUGUGAAAGUUUGCGGCUCAACCGUAAAAUUGCAGUUGAUACUGUGUGUCUUGAGUACAGUAGAGGUGGGCGGAAUUCGUGGUGUAGCGGUGAAAUGCUUAGAUAUCACGAAGAACUCCGAUUGCGAAGGCAGCUCACUGGACUGUUACUGACACUGAGGCUCGAAAGUGUGGGUAUCAAACAGG